CUCUGAUUGGCUCCCCUCACCCGCUCCGUAAUGUCGCCGCCGCGCGCCCCACCCCUGCCCGGCGCGCCUGCGCAGAGCUUAGCGGGCGGGCCAAAAACCGCGCAGUCACUGCAGGCGGGAACGGGGAGUGGAACCUAGGGCAGUUGGAAAGCCCGCGAAAUGCUCUUUCAGGCGGCGAGACAGAACCUGGGCGCUCGGGCUGGAGGAAGGAGAGGCGGGCCCUAUCUCAGCCCCGCCUGUUUCUCAUGCCAAUACGAGAGCUCCACGCAGCUCCUGGGCGCGGCCCCAGCCCUGCCUCUGUCAGAGUGGUAGUCCUGCUCCCAGUGCUUUGUGUCCUCGCCGCCUCAGACUCCCUUCCCGCAGCUCGCUACGGCCUGAGGCUGGGUUGCUACCCCUGGGCCUGGGGCUCUCGCGGUACGCGUGCGCGGCCCGCAGCCGGGACUCCCCUUCCCAGAGAGCGCCGCGGCGCGGUCAGCUGACAGGCCUCGUGACCCGCGAGGAGUCAGGCGGCUGGAGGGCGGGGCCGGGGCUGCCGCUCUCCCCGGUGCGCGCCCGCUGCCUGCAGCGGCCCUGCCUGUGGCGCUCCCGGCGUCGCCCCCUCCUCGCUCGGGCCGCGUCUCGGGAAUGCACGGCCGUGCCGCCCGGCACAGCGUCAGCCUGCGCCAGGUGCCGGCCCUCGACUGCAAGCUGCCAGUUCGGCCGCUCGGCUCCUGGCGCUGCCGGCUCCGCACCGCCGCGUCUCGUCCCCAGGGUCGUCGCCGCUGCGCCCCGGGAGCGCUGACUGCCCUGGGCCGCUGUCGAGCUCGGGCAGGGCGGAGCCAAAAUGUCCCCGGAGUCCAAAAAGCUCUUCAACAUCGUCAUCCUCGGAGUCGCCUUUAUGUUUAUGUUCACCGCCUUUCAAACUUGUGGCAACGUGGCGGUGAGUCGGCGCCUGCCUCCUGCUUGCAGUGCCUGUCCCUGCGACCCCGAAAGCAAAACGCCAGUCGUGUCCGGUGGCGCGCACAGGGCCCCUUCUCUCUUCCCACCUGCCGCCCCGUCUUCCGUGGUUAGGUUUGAUUUCACGGGCCACACUCUGCUCCUUCACGGGGUGCUUCACGUUCCCUUUGUUUCUCAGUUCGACUUUGUUUGGGGUGUCGACCCUCGUUUUUUGUUCCUUGCCUUUGUGAAGCUCCACCUUAGUACUGGGAUGGUCAAGGUGAUAGAACCCUAAGCACAGGUACCCCUGGUUACCUCCGGCCCCUUUAGUUAGUGUGCAACUCCAGCUGUCCUACUCCUCCUCUCAUAGUGGACUGUGAAUUUUGACAGUUUCUCCUUAGUGCAUUGUGAAUUUUGACAGUUUUUCCUUCUGAGUGCGUGGAAUUGGACUUUCCAAGGGGGAGGGAGAUUGCAAAACGUUUUCCUUGAUUAGUUUUAUCUUCUACGCAGCAAACUGUCAUCAGGAGCUUAAAUAGCACGGAUUUUCACGGCAGUGGAUAUACCAGGUAUUGUACUGUAUGU
rnacentral:lncRNA from 1 species